UACGUAGGGGGCAAGCGUUGUCCGGAAUUAUUGGGCGUAAAGAGCUUGUAGGCGGUCUGUCGCGUCUGCUGUGAAAAUCCGGGGCUCAACCCCGGACUUGCAGUGGGUACGGGCAGACUAGAGUGUGGUAGGGGAGACUGGAAUUCCUGGUGUAGCGGUGAAAUGCGCAGAUAUCAGGAGGAACACCGAUGGCGAAGGCAGGUCUCUGGGCCACUACUGACGCUGAGGAGCGAAAGCAUGGGGAGCGAACAGG
rnacentral:rRNA from 1 species